ACAGUAGGCACAAUGGAGCUGGCCCCUGUCUUGGGGAAUUCCCUAGGCUCACCUCCCCAUCAGUGUGAAGUACCCAACCUUGGUCUUCCUCAGGGCCUGCUCUGACUUCAUCAAACCACCCAUGUCUGUCCCUCCCCAGCUCAGCCCUCUUCUCCUAAUCAGCAGUCCCAUCAACAACUCUGAGCCUGUUGGUUCAUUCGUUUUUGUGACCUAGUACCAAGCACCCUACCCAGCAUCCCAGCACCCUACCCAGCAUCCCAGCACCCUACCCAGCAUCCCAGCACCCUGCCCAGCAGCCCAGCAACCUUCCCAGCAGCCCAGCAGCCUGCCCAGCAGCCCAGCAUCCUGUCCAGCAGCCCAGCAGCCUGCCCAGCAGCUCAGCAACUUGCCCAGCAGCCCAGCAGCCUGCCCAGCAGCCCAGCAGCUUGCCCAGCAUACACACACAUGGCACAGUGUAUUUGUCAAAUGAAGCUGUAUGAGAAGAAAUGUUUAGGGGGAGGCAGACAGGAGACCACACUGUGAGAUCCACAGCAAAAGAAACAUAAUGGGGACUUUAGUGUGGGGUCCAUGACAUGGACCAGUGUGAGAUUUGAAGGUGGUCAGGUCCUCAGUGGGUCUGUCUCCUCCCCAGCUGACUGUUGGGAGAGCAAGCACAACCUGAUCAACAGCCUCUGUCCUGGGGAGCAGGGAAAGCAAGGCAACCAACUGGACCGAGUUGGAUGCAGGUCUCUGCUAUACAGCUCAAUGCACCAGGGAUCUGUGAAGAUCAUGUAGCCACCACAUCACAUUCUGUAAGUGGUGACAGACACUGGGGGAACCAGGACAUCUGGAAAACCCCACAUGAGGCUCAGUAGAGGGAUCACAGCCCUACUGGGCAAACCUCUGCUUCCUGGACUUGAGCCCAUGUUGGGUAUAAGCCCCAGGGAGACUGGACUCAUUUGGAUUCCCACUGGAUUCUCAGCAGCCAGAGAAGCGUCUGGCAUGGAGAGAAUGCAAGCUACAUGUUUACUUGAGGAGAGAAAGAUUUGACUGCCGAAAUAUAAUGUGCAGAAACCAUGAUUGUCCGAAAAGACACAUCACCAAACUCUGCUGCUUUGGUUAAAAAUGGGUUCCUGGAAUAAGGAAAACAAAAACUAACCUC
rnacentral:lncRNA from 1 species